rnacentral:tRNA from 1 species
UCCUCAGUGGCUCAGUGGCAGAGCGGUCGGCUGUUAACCGAUCGGUCGUAGGUUCAACUCCUACCUGGGGAG